AUUGAACGCUGGCGGCAGGCCUAACACAUGCAAGUCGAGCGAGCGGCGGACGGGUGAGUAAUGUCUGGGGAACUGCCCGAUGGAGGGGGAUAACUACUGGAAACGGUAGCUAAUACCGCAUACUAUCGGAUGUGCCCAGAUGGGAUUAGCUAGUAGGUGGGGUAAAGGCUCACCUAGGCGACGAUCCCUAGCUGGUCUGAGAGGAUGACCAGCCACACUGGAACUGAGACACGGCCCAGACUCCUACGGGAGGCAGCAGUGGGGAAUAUUGCACAAUGGGCGCAAGCCUGAUGCAGCCAUGCCGCGUGUGUGAAGAAGGCCUUAGGGUUGUAAAGCACUUUCAGCGGGGAGGCGUUACUCGCAGAAGAAGCACCGGCUAACUCCGUGCCAGCAGCCGCGGUAAUUC
rnacentral:rRNA from 1 species